UACAGAGGGUGCGAGCGUUAAUCGGAAUUACUGGGCGUAAAGGGCGCGUAGGCGGUUGUAUAAGUUAGAGGUGAAAUCCCCGGGCUUAACCUGGGAAUGGCCUUUAAGACUGUACGACUAGAGUAGAGUAGAGGGGAGUGGAAUUUCCGGUGUAGCGGUGAAAUGCGUAGAUAUCAGGAGGAACACCUGUGGCGAAAGCGGCUCACUGGACCAUAACUGACGCUGAUGCACGAAAGCUAGGGGAGCAAACAGG
rnacentral:rRNA from 1 species